UCUGACUCUGAGCUUUCUUCAGAUAAUCAGACACAAACUCCGGUAUCGACGAACGAAACUAACUGAGAUAUCCAAAAACCUACUUCCAAGUUUCAUUAACUUAUCCGAGACACACAAGUUAGGGCUUAGUAUCUGCUAUGGCUCCUGAUGCUUCUACUGCUCUUGCAGCGAGGGAGAAAGUUCAGCAAUUCCUGAAUGCAGCCAUUACAGGGAACCUUGAAUUCCUUAAGAAGGUUGCUAAGGAGCUUGAUGAAGGAAAAGACUUGACAAAAACUGUGGAGAGUAUUAAAGACGCAAACAAACGUGGGGCG